UUGCCAUCGAUGGGCCCCCGGUUCGAUUCCGGGCUUGCGCA
rnacentral:tRNA from 1 species